rnacentral:rRNA from 1 species
GAUGAACGCUGGCGGCGUGCCUAAUACAUGCAAGUCGAGCGAACAGACGAGGAGCUUGCUCCUCUGACGUUAGCGGCGGACGGGUGAGUAACACGUGGAUAACCUACCUAUAAGACUGGGAUAACUUCGGGAAACCGGAGCUAAUACCGGAUAAUAUAUUGAACCGCAUGGUUCAAUAGUGAAAGACGGUUUUGCUGUCACUUAUAGAUGGAUCCGCGCCGCAUUAGCUAGUUGGUAAGGUAACAGCUUACCAAGGCAACGAUGCGUAGCCGACCUGAGAGGGUGAUCGGCCACACUGGAACUGAGACACGGUCCAGACUCCUACGGGAGGCAGCAGUAGGGAAUCUUCCGCAAUGGGCGAAAGCCUGACGGAGCAACGCCGCGUGAGUGAUGAAGGUCUUCGGAUCGUAAAACUCUGUUAUUAGGGAAGAACAAAUGUGUAAGUAACUAUGCACGUCUUGACGGUACCUAAUCAGAAGGCCACGGCUAACUACG